rnacentral:rRNA from 1 species
CCUACGGGAGGCAGCAGUGAGGAAUAUUGGUCAAUGGGCGAGAGCCUGAACCAGCCAAGUCGCGUGAGGGAGUACUGCCCUAUGGGUUGUAAACCUCUUUUGUCGGGGAGCAAAAGCCGGACGUGUCCGGCUGUGAGAGUACCCGAAGAAAAAGCAUCGGCUAACUCCGUGCCAGCAGCCGCGGUAAUACGGAGGAUGCGAGCGUUAUCCGGAUUUAUUGGGUUUAAAGGGUGCGCAGGCGGAUUUUUAAGUCAGCGGUAAAAUCGUGGGGCUCAACCCCAUCCAGCCGUUUAAACUUGGGAUCUAGAGUGUGCGAGAGGUAUGCGGAAUGCGUGGUGUAGCGGUGAAAUGCAUAGAUAUCACGCAGAACCCCGAUUGCGAAGGCAGCAUACCGGUGCACAACUGACGCUCAGGCACGAAAGCGUGGGUAUCGAACAGGAUUAGAUACCCCAGUAGUC